GGGCGCAUUUCGGGCCUAUAGCUCAGCUGGUUUAGAGCGCACGCCUGAUAAGCGUGAGGUCGAUGGUUCAAGUCCAUUUAGGCCCA
rnacentral:tRNA from 1 species